rnacentral:lncRNA from 1 species
GGAAGGCAUUUCCAAUUGCCAGGCCAACUUUCAGUGGCUUCUCCUAGCAGGAUUUCUCUUCAGCAGGUCCACGAUGUCAUAGCAACCUGAUAUGUGGCAGGAAUCCUCAAACAUCCGCAAGCAUUGCACCCAAUAGGCCUACGGCACCAAAUCCUAAGAUGAGCCUCCAGUCUCCUCCAAACUCAACAAGGACAUAUAUGUUCUAUCAUCCUGAACACGACCCCAUGAGGCAGAAACGCUUGCCAAAUCCAUUGGGAAAUUCUACUUAAAGGUUAAAGCCAAAGCUGCUUUGCAAAGGAAAGCUGUUCUAUGGUCAAGUUCACUGUCGGCCACAAUAACAAAAUGACUUACUAGUACUAAUCAGCUAAUCCUGGUAAGACACACCAACAGUCAAAACCACUGCUGAUUCCAAAAGUUUAAACAUGGCUGAGUUGCAUCUCUUCUUUGCGGAGCUGAAUUCUAGAAGAUUCGCAAUUGUCUCCUUCAGCCACUGAGAGAAUGAGAGGAGACAAAAUCAUGCAACAUUUCCAGCGAGACUGAACCCACAAGUGCUGAGAGCUCCUCGCGUCUGCUUUGACGCUACAUUGACGCUCCAUGGCAUGGAAAAGGGGCUGGCUUCCUAAUGUGGAGAGGAAGUUUAUGCAUUCUAAGGAAGAGAAGCUGCUCUCUCCUUGGACGUCCUGCUCACCUAGGCACCUGGGGUCCAUCUUUCAUCUGGCUCUAAUCAUCUUGGCCAAGAACACGCCUCCUGACUCCCCUCAGCACAGACCCCACAGUUUUCUGGAAGGCUGUCUCCAAAGCACACAGAAGAACAGGAGGCUUCCUCUGCACCCUGAUUUGUGUUAAAGAUUCAAGUCUUGAGAAAAAGCAGCACCUCUCUAACUGUGGCACGCCGCUCUCUCUCUCUCCCUUGCAAGGCAAAGCUGAGCCUCCUUUGAGAAGAAUGCAUGUGAGAUGGCGUGCUGCAAUUGGCCACUGGCUAACAGAGAUGCUGUCACAAAGUAAUGGAGUGACACAGCGACCCACUGGUCUCUUCCCCACCAAGAGUUGAGUGCUACAGUUUGCAAAGAGUGUUUCUGUUAAGCUGAUUGUGUGGCAGAACCUUAGUAGACUUCCAUGAUGACUACGGAUUGACAUUCUUCUGACUGUCCCUUUUCAUUUUUAUUUCGAAGCUAUAACAAGGUGAAAACCGGAUGAGAUAUAUUUUAUUAGUGUGUCCUCAUUUAUAUAGGGACCACAUUUUUCAUGACAAAGUACUAUAAUCAUUGAUCACAAAUAUCCAAACACUGAGAAAGGAGCAAAGUAUUGCAAAGAUUGGGAAGCUUUUAUGAAGUUAAUUUGAAGAAAUUAAUCUCUGGUGAUGUUAUGUCUCCUAUAAAGUACAGCUCCUGGCAACAUGCUGGACCCCGAGACACCAGAAGCGGCUUCUAUGGGCCCUUCCCCAUGACAGCCACCCUCUGUAGAUGUCACAGGUUUAUAGACUGGAAGGGCACAGUGAGCAUCAGCUUUCAAUAUGAGAGAGCUUAUUUAUGCUCUCAUUUCAAAAUGAAACAAAUAUAUAGACAUUCUAGAACUUUACCCCUGGACAUCUCGCAAGGGGUAGUCACCCCAGUUGUAAAAUACCUACAAAUGACUCCUUGCAGUUAACCCUAACAACCCGGUUUUCUUACGCCUCUGAGCUAACCUUUCCCCUUUAUUUUCAGUUUUAGUUUUUAGUUAGCUUAAAGAGAAGCAGGAUUCUUUAUGGAAUUUUCAUAUUUAAUUUUGGCUGGUCCCCUCCCCCCACACACACAUACCUUAAAGUUAAUUAUCUACAGAUUUACCUCCACAGGCCUGUCCCAUUGGAAGGGCUGAUGAGUGUGAUUUCCAGGGGCCAUGGCAAGCUAACCUUCCCUAACCAAAUACUGCCUCAUGUCUCCUGAACAAAGAGAUGGAGAUGGAGACAAUCCCUAUGAUCUCCACUACACAUAUCAUACCAGCCACUAUGCACACAACAACAGUACAUUCUUGGUAGGAAAAGUGUUUGGUACCAAGUACAUGGUGGGCUCACUGAGACAAAGUCCCAGGAUUUCAGCCGGGCUCAGUACCCUUCCCAUUACAUGGUCAUGGAACCAAAUCCAGCCUCCGCAUCUUUCAGAAUAGGCUACAGGAAAAGCAAUUCGCCUUCCCUCUGCUCUCUGGGAUAAUGAAGUCUGCUUGACUUUAUGACUUAUAUGGACACAAUGAACAACAUACCUGCUACUCAAAAAGAAAAGAAAACAAAAACCUGAAUAAAUCAGGUACAGCAUGAGAAAUUUAAAAUGUAAAGUAUAAUCCCAGGAUUUUGGCAAGUACAAACUGUGGCUUUUAAAAUCUUGAGUGAAAUAAACCAGACCCAGAAAGAUAAGGUAUGUUAUGUAUUUGCAUAUGUGCUAAUAUUAGUGGUUAAUUCAAUGCUGUCCAGGCUACAAUCCAUAGACCCGCAGAAGUUAGAUAUACAGUAAGGGCUGAGGUAGACAGAUAGGUCUCUCUAGGAAAGGGCCAUAGAAAAGAUGGCUGUGGAUGGACAGGGAGGGGGGACUGGAAUGGGAGGACCAAAGAGGGAAGGGGAGGGGGCAUGAAGGAGGAAAUGCAGAGAGAGACAACUAAAAUUAAGGAGUAUUUAAACCUGAUACAGUAAAAGCUUCUUAAAAUAGACUUAUCUAUGGAGAAUACCUAAAUGAAAUCACCAAAUAAUAGCAGAGACAGAGCUCCAACUGGCUGUCUCUUGUCACCAAAUGAAACUUCCAGGACUAAUUGAGACGUUUGCCAAAGACAUCUAUGGCAAUUCCCAAACAACCCAGGCUGUGCUGAGACCCUAAGUUGUUCUCCACAAACCGAGACAGCAAGGCCCCCUUACUGAAGGCAACACCUACACAGCUCACUGAACGUGGAGAUGUCAAGCUGGGCCUAGGCAGAACCUUUACCCCCUUGUUCUAGUGUCUCUGGUACAGGAAGGAACUCUGCCCUGUCAGAGGAGAAAUGUAAGCACCAACUCAGCCACAAACCAUGAUCUACAGUGGUGUCCUGCCUGCAAGAAAAGCUUGUGCAAUAGUGGCAUAAGGCUUAUGGGAGUAACCAACCAAGAUCUGAUUUGACUUAGACACCGUUCAUGAGAUGGAACCCAUACCCAACACUGUUUGAGUGACCAAGAACCUAGGGUAAAACCAAAUACUAUUGUUCUAAAACCAAAACCAAACAAAAAUAAAAGCAAGGCAGCAAUAAAAAAAUGGCAUUCUAGCAUACUCAUUGAUCAGUGACCUGCUCAGCCAGCAACAGGGAAGUCUCCUCCUGAAACAAAUGAAGACAAAUAUAAAAACUGAACAGCCAGACACUUGUGAGAAGAGUGAGAAACCUUGUAACACUGAGCCUACAUGGCAUGUCUUCACCAGCCCUUCCCUCCUCAGGAAAACAUGCAGAAGAGGAAGAAGAAAGUCAGAGUCACUUACAUGCAGGAGGGAAAGAACACCAAGAAAACAAAAUCAACAUGAUCGUCAGCUAUAUGAAGUCACAGAGACUGAGGCAGCCUGAGAGUGGUCACGGUUUUAAACAACUGGUAGACUGAAUGUAAAAAAAAAAAAUCGCAGAUCCUGCAUGGUCUGCCCCAGGAGUCCUGGAGCUGAAGGAAGAAGUAGACACACACCUCCACCUCUAACACAGAAGCCGCUUUAGUUGAUAACCACUUGCAAAUGGAAAUUUAGUUUCCUCCAAGGGAAUCUCACUGGGGAAACAAACUACUCCGAAGGGGAGGCAGGACGCAUGCGCAGCAGGAGAUGCCCACAGAGAAGGAGCUUAGUGGUAUCUUUGGAGUUCCCUUGUCUCAUAAUGUCCUGUUGGGGCUUUUCCUUUCUUUCUUUUAAAAUUAUCUUAAUCUUAAUUUUAUCUCUCAAUAUUUUUUGCUUAUCUCUUUUUACCCUACAGAUCCUCUCUCUCUCUCUCUCUCUCUCUCUCUCUCUCUCUCUGUGUGUGUGUGUGUGUGUGUGUGUGUGUGUGUGUGUGUACUAUGGCUUCCAUUUUAAUGGUUUUAUGCGCUUUCUGAGUGUGCAAACAAGUGGGUCUCUUCCUUUUCUUGGGUUCUUUCCCUUUAGUUUGUUUUUAUCUAAUUCCAAUAUUUGAGGGUUUUUUUUUUGUUUUGUUUUGUCAUAGUGUAUUUUAUCUUAUAUCAGUUCCUAAUUAUUCCUUUGGAGCUUGCUUAUUUUCUAAUAAGAGACAGAAAGGGGUAGAUCCAGAUGGGAGGGGAGGAAAAAGUGGGAGGACAAAGAAGUGUGGACAAAGGGUUUAUUGUAGGUCACACUCUGACACACUACAGCUUCCACAAUGAGAUUUUGUCAGGGGUGGGGGGAGGCUGCAAGGGUGGAGGGCGGGUAGGAG